UGGGCAACCUGCCCCAGACACUGGGAUAACUCCGGGAAACCGGGGCUAAUACCGGAUACUCUCAGCCGGCCGCAUGACCGGCUGAGGAAAGCUCCGGCGGUCUGGGAUGGGCCCGCGGCCUAUCAGCUUGUUGAUGGGGUAACGCCUACCAAGGCGACGACGGGUAGCUGGUCUGAGAGGACGGCCAGCCACACUGGGACUGAGACACGGCCCAGACUCCUACGGGA
rnacentral:rRNA from 1 species